rnacentral:rRNA from 1 species
CGGGGGUACUCGAGUGGCGAACGGGUGAGUAACACGUGGGCAACCUGCCCUCAGCUUCGGGAUAACACUUGGAAACAGGUGCUAAUACCGGAUAAUAACUUGUCAUCGCAUGGUGGUGGGUUCAAAGUUUUUCGGCUGAGGAUGGGCCCGCGGCCUAUCAGCUUGUUGGUGGGGUAAUGGCCUACCAAGGCGACGACGGGUAGCCGGCCUGAGAGGGCGACCGGCCACACUGGGACUGAGACACGGCCCAGACUCCUACGGGAGGCAGCAGUGGGGAAUAUUGCGCAAUGGGCGAAAGCCUGACGCAGCGACGCCGCGUGAGGGAUGACGGCCUUCGGGUUGUAAACCUCUUUCAGCUCUGACGAAGCGCAAGUGACGGUAGGAGCAGAAGAAGCACCGGCCAACUACGUGCCAGCAGCCGCGGUAAUACGUAGGGUGCAAGCGUUGUCCGGAAUUAUUGGGCGUAAAGAGCUCGUAGGCGGUCUGUCGCGUCGAAUGUGAAAAUCCGGGGCUCAACCCCGGACCUGCAUUCGAUACGGGCAGACUAGAGUUCGGUAGGGGAGUCUGGAAUUCCUGGUGUAGCGGUGAAAUGCGCAGAUAUCAGGAGGAACACCGGUGGCGAAGGCGGGACUCUGGGCCGAUACUGACGCUGAGGAGCGAAA